UCCAUAAGAAGUUCUGAAGGU
rnacentral:miRNA from 1 species